ACACAUGCAAGUCGAGCGCGAAUAGGGGCAACCCUUAGUAGAGCGGCGCACGGGUGCGUAACACGUGGAUAAUCUGCCUGGAUGCCUGGGAUAACCAGUCGAAAGAUUGGCUAAUACCGGAUAAGCCCACGGUCUCCUCGGAGACUGAGGGAAAAGGUGGCCUCUGUAUACAAGCUAUCACAACCAGAUGAGUCCGCGGCCCAUCAGCUAGUUGGCGGGGUAAUGGCCCACCAAGGCAACGACGGGUAGCUGGUCUGAGAGGACGAUCAGCCACACUGGAACUGAGACACGGUCCAGACUCCUACGGGAGGCAGCAGUGGGGAAUUUUGCGCAAUGGGCGAAAGCCUGACGCAGCAACGCCGCGUGUGUGAUGAAGGUCUUUGGAUUGUAAAGCACUUUCGACCGGGACGAAACCGUAAAGCCUAAUACGCUUUGCCUUGACGGUACCGGGAGAAGAAGCACCGGCUAACUCUGUGCCAGCAGCCGCGGUAAUACAGAGGGUGCAAGCGUUGUUCGGAAUUAUUGGGCGUAAAGCGCGUGUAGGCGGCUUUGCAAGUCGGGUGUGAAAGCCCUCAGCUCAACUGAGGAAGUGCGCCCGAAACUGCAGAGCUUGAGUGCCGGAGAGGGUGGCGGAAUUCCCCAAGUAGAGGUGAAAUUCGUAGAUAUGGGGAGGAACACCGGUGGCGAAGGCGGCCACCUGGACGGUAACUGACGCUGAGACGCGAAAGCGUGGGUAGCAAACAGGAUUAGAUACCCUGGUAGUCCACGCCGUAAACGAUGAGAACUAGGUGUCGUGGGAG
rnacentral:rRNA from 1 species